AAGGCCAAGGUCAGGCAGGCGAUCACUAGGGCCAGGGGCCACAUGGCUCCGGGAUCGGGAGGAGAGGGCAGGGCGGGCGGGGCCUGAGGAGAAGGUGAAGGGGGUGUUGAGGGCGUGCCCGGAACCUCCGCGUCUGAAACCUCUCUGCUCCUGAAUCUCUCCUCCCCUCAUUCACUCUUGACAGCCCUGACCCUGGAAUCUGCCCCCCACCUCCAAUUCCAUCCUUGGUGGGGGUGCAGUGGCAAGGUGGGAGGAACAGUGUGCAACCCCCUGGGGCUCCGGCGUGCAGCCCCUCACCCCAGGAAGCCGUCCCUCCUCCCCUGCCCUCUGGCGAGCUGGGUGGUCGGUGCACUCUCUCCCUUUUCCUCCAGAGUCUGCCUUCCAUUCUAUCCCUCUGGGUCUGUCCACACGCUUGGUAUUAGCCCAAGUUCUUAUCUGUCCGCGCCCUUCACCUCUCUCCGUCUCUGCAGGUUUCUCUCUAGAUCUGAGGCUCUAGCUUCACUCUCCCUCUCCCUGACUCAGCUGCCCUUCUGCUUUCCCCAUCCUUCCUAUCCCCUCUUCUCUCCCCUUCCUGCCCUCCUCCGCUCCCCGCCCCCGCCCCAGGCAGACCCUACCUGAGUGAGGGGCCCGCGAGGAGCGUCAGCCGCCAGCUGCCUAGAACUUCAGCCCCGAACCAUGGCUUUUAACCCCUGAACUCCCUCCCCCAGCUCACUCAGCAUUUCCUGGUCCCUGGCCCCCCCCCUCCACCCCCAGUGGCUCAGCGGGAUGUCUCCAGGCACCCCCCCACCUGGGCUUGGCCCUCUGCUUGGGGCGGAGCUUCCAGGACGUGCUGGGACCUAGAUCUGACCCCGCCCAAGCCGGAGUUGAACCCACUGUGAACUUUCAGGCAUCAGGACCCAAAAAAGGACACAAGGACACCCACAAUUAUCCCAUCAUCCUGCCUCCCUGCUCCCGCCAACCACCAGACACAAGAAGGAAAUCAUCAGCUGGGUGGAUAGAAAAUCAGCUCCCUUGGAUUUGGAUGGGGGCAGAGAUGGGACCUGAGAAAGCAACAUUUUCCAGAAAUGGCCUUUCAGGAGCAGGGCCAGAGAGGGCCGAGAAAAUUGGGGUCGUGACCAAUUCAGUUUACCACUGGAGGCUAUAUGAGCACAGAAAACUGUUCUCAUGAAAGAAAGAUUUUGGAAAACUGACAACUGCAUCUGCCACCAGAAAACGUGCUGAGGGCAGUCACGCCUCAAGCACAGUGUUCCUUGUGAUUAUCCGAAAGAACAUCUGAAGUCUGUUGUACAAAGAAAGCAAUUAUAGGGCUUGUAUGGCUGCUAAGUAUUAAAUCCACAGUGUGUGUUUAUCACCUUGACACAGAAGUUGCAACCUCCACAAACUGAGACAAGGACACUAUAAGAAAAGAAAAUUAUAGGCCAAUAACUCUGAUGAAUAUAGAUGCAAAAAUUCUCAACAAAACACUAGCAAACUAAAUUCAGUAGCAUAUUAAAAACAUCAUACACCAUGAUCAAGUGGGAUUUAUCCCUGGGAUAUAAGGAUGGUUCAACAUGCACAAAUCACUAAGCAUGGUAUACCUCAACAGAAUGAAGGAUAAAAAUUAUAUGAUCAUCUUAAUAGGGACAGAAAAAUCAUUUGGCAAAAUACAACAUCGUUUCAUGACAAAGACAGUCAACAAAUUAGAUAUGGAGAGAAUGUACCUCACACAAUAGAGGCCAUAUAUGACAAGUCCACAGCUAACAUCAUACCCAAUGGUGAAAACUUGAAAGCUUUUCCUCUAAGAUCAGGAACAAGACAAGUAUGCCCACUCUAGCCAUUUCUAUUCAACAUUAGCACUAGAAGUCCUAGCCAUAGUAAUUAGGCAUGAAAAAGAAUAAAAGGCAUUCAGAUCAGAAAGAAAGAAGUAAAAUUGUCUCUGUUUGCAGAUGACAUAAUCUUAUAUGUAGAAAACCCUGAAGAGUCCACCAAAAAACUGUUAGAACUAAUAAAUGAUUCAGUAAAGUUGUAAGAUACAAAAUUUGGUUGUGUUUCUACACCCUAGCAAUGAAUUAUCAGGAGAAAAUUGAGAAAGCAACUCAAUUUACAAUGGCAUCAGAAACAAUAAAAUGCUUAAAAAUAAACUUAAGCAAGGAAGAAAAUAAUCUGUACACUGAAAACUAUAAAACGUUGAUGAAAAAAAUUGAAGACAACAUAAAGAAAUUGAAAGAUAUCCCAUAUUUGUGAAUUGGAAGAAUUAAUAUUUCUAAAAUGUCAAUGCUAACCAAAGCUAUCUAUAUUUUCAUUUUAAUCCCUAUCAAAAUUCCAAUGGCUUUUUUUUCACAGAAGUAGAAAAAAAAUCAUAAAUAUGGAACCAUGAAAGACCCUGCAAUCUUGGGCAGGAAGAACAAAGCUAGAGACAUCAUAUUGUCUGAUUUCAAAACAUAAUACAAAGCUAUAGUAACCAAAACAGCAUGGUACUGGCACAAAAACAGGCAUAUAACCAAUGGGACAGAAUAGAGAGCUCAGAAAUAAAUCCACACAUUUACUGCCAACUGAUCUUUAACCCAAAGGAAAAGGAUAUUCUCUUUAACAAAAGCUGUUGGAAAAAUUGGAUACCUGCAAGGAGAAGAAUGAAAUUGGACUCCUAUCUCAUGCCAUGUACAAAAAUCAACUCAAAAUGGGUUAAGGAUUUAAACAUAAGACCUGAAACAGUAAAAUGGCAAGAAGAAGACAUGGGGGAAAAACUUCUUGACAUUUGUCUGGGCAAUGAUAUUUUAGACAUAACCCCCAAAGCACAGACAACAAAAGUAAAAAUAAACAAAUGCGAUUGCAUCAAAUGGAAAAGCUUCUGUGCACCAAAGGAAACAACCAACAGAUAAUGAUCAACAGAGUGAAAAGACAGCCUACCAAAUGGGAGAAAAUAUUUGCAAAUGAUGUAUCUGAUAGAGGGUCAAUAUCCAAGAUAUAUAAGCAAUGCAAAAACUCAACAGCAAGAAAACAAAUAACCCAAUUAAAAAAUGGACAAAGGGCCAGGCACAGUGGCUCAUGCCUGAAAUCCCAGCACUUUGGGAGGCUGAGGUGGGUGGAUCACCUGAGGUCAGGAGUUUGAGACCAGCCUGGCCAACAUGAUGAUAUCCUGUCUCUACUAAAAAUACAAAAAUUAGCUGGGCAUGGUGGCAGAUGCCUGUAAUCCCAGCUGCUUGGGAGGCUGAGGCAGGAGAAUCACUUGAACCCAAGAGGUGGAGGUUGCAGUGAGCUGAGAUUGCACCACUGCACUCCAGCCUGGGCAACAGGGAGAGACUCUGUCUCUGAAAAAUAAAAAAGGGCAAAGGACCUGAAUAGACAUUUCUCCAAAGAAGACAUACAAAGGACCAACAAGUAUAUGAAAAUGUGCUCACUAUCACUAAUCAUCAGGGAAACACAAAUUAAAAUCACAGUAAGACAUCACCUCACACAUUUUGGAAUGACUAGUAUAGAAAAGGCAAACAAUAACAAACGUUGUCAAGGAUGUGGGGGAAAAAAAGUGAAUCCUUGUACCCUGUUGGUGGGAGUGUAAGUUGGUGCAAGGAAAUGAAAUUGGUAUCUCAAAGUGAUAUCUGCACACCCAUGUUCAUGGCAGCGUCAUUCAUGAUGAUCAGGAUGUGAAAACAACCUGCGUGUCUGUUGAUGGAUGAAUGGAUAAAGGAAAUGUAAUAUAUU